rnacentral:rRNA from 1 species
UACGGGAGGCAGCAGUGGGGAAUAUUGCACAAUGGGCGAAAGCCUGAUGCAGCUAUGCCGCGUGUAUGAAGAAGGCCUUAGGGUUGUAAAGUACUUUCAUCGGGGAGGAAAAACAAAACUAAUAAUUUUAUUUCUUGACGUUACCCGAAAAAGAAGCACCGGCUAACUCCGUGCCAGCAGCCGCGGUAAUACGGAGGGUGCUAGCGUUAAUCAGAAUUACUGGGCGUAAAGAGCACGUAGGUGGUUUUUUUAAGUCAGAUGUGAAAUCCCUGGGCUUAACCUAGGAACUGCAUUUUGAAACUGAAAUACUAGAGUAUCGUAGAGGGAGGUAGAAUUCUAGGUGUAGCGGUGAAAUGCGUAGAUAUCUGGAGGAAUACCUGUGGCGAAAGCGGCCUCCUAAACGAAUACUGACACUGAGGUGCGAAAGCGUGGGGAGCAAACGAGGGAUUAGGAUACC